rnacentral:lncRNA from 1 species
CCUUGUUAUCAUCAAAACUUAAUAAGGUUCAUUGUGAAACACAUUUUGUUCCAACAUAGCUUACAAUCAAACUCAAAUAUGACAGACUCCAUGCCUUGAUUGACAGCGAAGGUUAAUGCUUCAAGAAGGCUUAGAGCCUCAGCUUCUGAAGGGGAAGAGGUAUAUAAAGAAUACUUAGAUAAUCCAUAAUGUAAUGUCCCUGAAGAGUCUCGAAAACAAAUGUCGAGCCCUGUGAUGGUAUUGUUGUUGAAGAGGCCGCAAUCUACAUUGCAUUUUAAACUAGAGCUCAUCCUAAUGUAUAUUCUGGUUGGGUUGUCUCACUAUUUGUAAACAGCGCCAUUCAUGAAGAGAAUUAUGCGCUCGCUGAACGAUCAAAGGAGAGGGAGUGUCAAUGCCUUCCCAUAAUUUAGAGUUUCUACUUUUCCACAGACUCCAUAGAAUCAUAGAUACAGUUGCCUGGGUAUGUGGUUGCAACCUUCUAAAGAAAUAAAAAAGAAGAGUUGUGAAAUCAUUAGCAUCACGCAACAAGUCAUGCACAAUACCAUCCAAUCAAACUUGCUCCCAACAAUUCAUAGCUUUUGGGCACACGAAGAAUGAGUGGAUGUGGAAUUCAGCCAAGACAUCGCAAUGAACACAGGUAUCGUCAAUAGGUACACCUUUCUGGAUCUAACGAGUGCGAGUUGGAAGGCAACAGUGAGCCGUUCUCCAUAACAGGGAACGAACUCUAGGAGGCACAUGUUGUUUCCAGAUAAUGUUCCAAUUAUGCGUAACAGCAGUGGGGGAAAUAUUGG